rnacentral:rRNA from 1 species
GAUACCCGGGUAGUCAUAGCCGUAAACGAUACUCGCUAGGUGUCGGCCACGGUGCGACCGUUGUCGGUGCCGUAGGGAAGCCGUGAAGCGAGCCACCUGGGAAGUACGGCCGCAAGGCUGAAACUUAAAGGAAUUGGCGGGGGAGCACCACAACGGGUGGAGCUUGCGGUUUAAUUGGAUUCAACGCCGGAAAUCUUACCGGGACCGACAGCAAUAUGAAGGCCAGGCUGAAGACUUUGCCGGAUUAGCUGAGAGGUGGUGCAUGGCCGUCGUCAGUUCGUACUGUGAAGCAUCCUGUUAAGUCAGGCAACGAGCGAGACCCACGCCCACAGUUGCCAGCGUACUCUCCGGAGUGACGGGUACACUGUGGGGACCGCCGCUGCUAAAGCGGAGGAAGGAAUGGGCAACGGUAGGUCAGUAUGCCCCGAAUAUCCCGGGCUACACGCGAGCUACAAUGGUUGGUACAAUGGGUAUCUACCCCGAAAGGGGACGGGAAUCUCCUAAAACCAAUCUUAGUUCGGAUUGAGGGCUGCAACUCGCCCUCAUGAAGCUGGAAUCCGUAGUAAUCGCUUUCAACAGAACGCGGUGAAUACGUCCCUGCUCCUUGCACACACCGCC